rnacentral:pre_miRNA from 1 species
UGAUGAUGAUGAUGAUGAUGAUGAUGAUGAUGUUCAUGAUGAUGACGAUGAUGAUGAUCGUCAUCAUAUUCAUCAAGAUCAUCAUCAUUUCUUUAU